rnacentral:lncRNA from 1 species
GCCUGGAUAUAGCCCUACCUCACCAACUUAUAGUCCAAGUUCUCCUGGUUAUAGUCCAACCAGUCCUGCCUAUUCUCCUACCAGUCCAUCGUACUCACCUACUUCACCAAGCUAUAGCCCAACCUCCCCAAGUUACAGCCCAACAUCCCCAAGCUACAGCCCGACCUCUCCAAGUUACAGCCCCACUUCUCCCAGUUACAGUCCAACUUCACCAAGCUAUAGCCCCACCUCACCGGCAUAUAGCCCCACCUCACCUGCAUAUAGCCCCACCUCACCUGCAUACAGCCCCACUUCACCAUCGUACAGCCCAACCUCUCCUUCCUACAGCCCAACAUCACCUUCGUACAGCCCUACCUCACCGUCAUACAGCCCCACUUCUCCAUCGUACAGCCCCACUUCACCAGCCUAUAGCCCCACUUCUCCUGGUUAUAGUCCAACUUCACCAAGUUAUAGCCCAACUUCACCAACCUAUAGUCCUACAUCCCCAAGCUACAAUCCUCAGUCUGCCAAAUACAGUCCGUCGCUGGCCUACUCACCAAGUAGUCCAAGAUUAUCUCCUGCCAGUCCGUACAGCCCUACAUCUCCAAAUUACAGGUAAGCCAUAGUGCGAUAUGUGGUCAAGUCUAAUGUUUGUGUUAAAAGCUGUAUCCAAUUUAUUAGGUCUUGUUUUUGAUAGAAUUCUAUAUACUGAAAUAUCUGUUGAACCUAAGACUUGCUGUAGCUGGGGAUUGGACUUGGAUGGGUUUAAAUUAUUAAUGAUUUUAUCUCUGUUGUUUUUAACAUUAUUAUAUCUGGAUGAUUAUGUUGAUGUAUCUUGUAAGCAACUUUUCUUUUUACGCAGUCCAACAUCAUCUUCGUAUUCACCGACAUCUCCCUCUAUGAUACUGGACCAAUGAUGAGAUGUUCAUUUGAAGAAACGGUUGACAUUCUUCUUGAUGCUGCAGUCUUUGCAGAAUCAGAUUAUUUGAGGGGGGUCACUGAGAAUAUAAUGUUAGGUCAGCUUGCGCCUAUUGGGACAGGAGACUGUUCAUUGUAUCUCAAUGAUGAGAUGCUGAAAAAUGCCAUCGAACUUCAGCUUCCUAGUUAUAUGGAAGGUCUGGAGUUUGGCAUGACACCUGCUCGUUCUCCGGUGUCUGGGACUCCUUAUCAUGAUGGCAUGAUGUCUCCAGGUUACUUGUUUAGCCCAAAUCUCCGUCUGUCCCCGGUCACGGAUGCCCAGUUUUCUCCUUAUGUUGGUGGAAUGGCCUUCUCUCCUACUUCAUCACCCGGAUACAGCCCAUCAUCACCAGGCUACAGUCCGUCAUCUCCUGGAUACAGUCCCACGUCACCUGGAUACAGCCCAACUUCGCCUGGAUACAGUCCCACCUCGCCUGGAUAUAGCCCUACCUCACCAACUUAUAGUCCAAGUUCUCCUGGUUAUAGUCCAACCAGUCCUGCCUAUUCUCCUACCAGUCCAUCGUACUCACCUACUUCACCAAGCUAUAGCCCAACCUCCCCAAGUUACAGCCCAACAUCCCCAAGCUACAGCCCGACCUCUCCAAGUUACAGCCCCACUUCUCCCAGUUACAGUCCAACUUCACCAAGCUAUAGCCCCACCUCACCGGCAUAUAGCCCCACCUCACCUGCAUAUAGCCCCAC